ensembl:lncRNA
GUUUUAUUCUCUAUUUUCAUCAGAUAAUCUUGUGUUGAAGUAUACAGCAGCACCAAGUACUGCAUUGAGUACAGUGAUUGGCGGCUUGCCAUGUGGAUUAAUGCUUCCAGCUAAAAAAAAAAGGGGAUGAUAAUAAUGAAUGGCAUCUGCCUGGGAAUAUCUUAUGUUUUUAAGUAUACGAAAAAUUGAUUUCAAAAUGAACAGGCUCAAAGUUUGCAUGAGAUUCACCAAGUAAGUCACUGACAUGUACAUUUGAUAAAAACAUCCUAUGUAAUAUGCUGAUGGAUUUCUAUUCAGUUUAUGAUAUGACUACUGAUUUUAUUUUAUUAUUAUUAUCAAGUGCAAUAGGACACGUAAAGGAUUUAACUCCAGUUAAACAAGAAAAACACUGGUAGUAUUUCAAGUUAGAAUUGUCCUGUCUACGUGACCCAAGUGCACCACACCUCUCAUUCAUUAGGCAUCCAGUGAGCUGGCAAAAGCAGUUUGGAGGUGUUAGAAGACAGAACCCUGCAGCAGAGCCUGUUUUAAGAAAUUCAAGAUGCACUUCAGAAAAUCCUUGGCUGAAGGUUCCGAUUUCAACUAUUCUUGACUCCUAAUUUUCUAACAGUGAUCUCCACUCCAGGCAUCUAAAGAUCAACAACUAUCUUGCCGAGAGGAUCUCAAGUGUUCUGGGAUUCAGUUUGUCUCUGCAGACUAAAACUGCACUGCCACUGUUUGUUCAGCCGUUGCCAUUGUGUGAUACAAUGGGCCUAGAUUACCAUUUAUCAGACCUGUUCUUCCAGCUAGUCUACAUUCCUCGCCUUCUCCACUUCCAGGAUGGGGAGAUCCUUCCUGAGCCUCCCAAAGACGCAUGCUCUCCUUUCAAGAAAGCAACAUUCACUUUAAUAAUUAAUUUAAAACUGAAACAAAUGCUUUGAAGAAUAUUUUGAUUUAUCACCUUGAUAUAAUGAUCUCCUUCCUCUAAAGCUUCACAAUUCUGAUAAAAUAAACGUAUUCCUUUGCUCUAGCUUGAUUCAUGAAGUCUUUUCAAAAAUUUUCCUAUUUAAAAUUUCUGUUGCUCUCUGCACGCUCAAUGCAAGCUCAGUGGAACAGCUUUAUUUAUUGAAAAGGAGUUUAAAAGCUUGGCACUGCGCACAAGCUAUGAUAUUGUAAAAAUACUAAAAUGGAAAGGCUUAGGAAUAAUAACAAAUCAAAUUAAAACGAAAAAAUAGUUCAGUACACAAAAUGGCUAUUUGAUCAGAAAAAUAUCUAACCAUCUCUUACAACUCUUCUCACAAGCACAUUUUUCAGACGUUAUUAUAUACCCACCUGUAGGUUUUCAUAGUCUUUACAGAAGGCAGGUGUGCUCAGUAAACUAAGAAUCAUCAUAAUGCUCAUUCAUUCACCUGUAACUGAAAUAACCAUAAAUAAUGCCUUGAAUUCACUGUCAUCGGGAGAGGAACGAUGUACUGAAUAGUAUGAAUGCCCUCUACAGGUAGAACAAGAAACCUCUAUAAUUCCAGGAUUUGAGUUUGUCUAUUCACUAAGUAGGUACUAAAUAAUUAAGUCUAUUUUGGUCCUUAUAAGAUCACAGUGACGUUAUCUGAAAAUUGUGAUGCACUGGAAUCUGCUGAUAUUGUUGACAGACAGUUCAAAAACUAUCACAGACCUUCCCCCAUUCUAAUAGGCAGGCUUAUGGAGGCCUGCUCUGAGCCUACUGCUGACUGUCCAGCCUACGUGGUCAGAAGUUUCAGAGUCUGACAGAACGAUCUCUUACUGCUCACAGAAAAACAGCAGUCAGCAACUACAGCCUGCCUGAACUCUGUGACAUUCGGCCCCACGAGCUUCUUUGCAGCAUAUCUGUUCUGGUUUUCCAUCUGGCCAAGUGUACUGGGGAUGAGAUCAACAAAAACAUAAAGAUAUGUACUCAGUUUCGGGGAAGAAUGAUCUCAUCCCACAGCCAAAGCUGAAUGCAAAUAAAGCUAAUUGAACACUUCUGCAUUCAGAGCAUGAAACAAGGCUUUUAAACAGUCUUUUCUGGAAUAAGAGGACUGACAGACACUAAAUGAAAUGUGGUAAAUAUCACAUGCAACAGGAGUAACGAAACAACAGAAGUACUGAAAGUCAGUAAAAGCAAUCAUGGCAACACGACAAAGAAAAAACUAUAGCCUUGCUUAAUAUUAAUAGUCACCAACAUCCUUACUAUUUCCAAAGAAAUAUACCCAGAACACCCUGCACUGGGGUGGAUGAACAAAUGGCCUUGAAUUCAGGCUGCACAUGAGCCACAGUUCUAACUUCAUACGCAGUACAGAAUGUAGCUACUAUUGCAUUCACAACCUCUGGCCGCACAGAGAUACAGCUAGUUUCCAUUUUCCCUUAACUCUGCCAUAGAAGUUCAGGGACUAUAUGCAGGCUGCAGAAUCAAAAUACCAUUACAACACUUGCCUGUUCACUAAAAACAUGAACAAAUGGCUUCAUUUCUAUAUUUGAGAAAGCAAAGAGACGUGUUCUAUAUCUAGGAGCCAAAGCUGCCAGCAAAAUAAGAACUGAGGAACACAAAACUU